AGUGAACGCUGGCGGCGUGCUUAACACAUGCAAGUCGAACGAGAACGGGUUAUAGCUUGCUAUAAUUGUCAGCUAAGUGGCGCACGGGUGAGUAAUGUAUAGGUAAUAUGCCUCUUACUAAGGGAUAACAAAUGGAAACGUUUGCUAAUACCUUAUACUCCUUAUUAACAUAAGUUAAUAAGGGAAAGAUUUAUUGGUAAGAGAUUAGCCUGUAUUGUAUCAGUUAGUUGGUGGGGUAAUGGCUUACCAAGACUAUGACACAUAACUGGUUUGAGAGGAUGAUCAGUCACACUGGAACUGAGACACGGUCCAGACUCCUACGGGAGGCAGCGGUGGGGAAUAUUGCACAAUGGACGAAAGUCUGAUGCAGCAACGCCGCGUGGAGGAUGACACAUUUCGGUGCGUAAACUCCUUUUAUAUGAGAAGAUAAUGACGGUAUUAUAUGAAUAAGCACCGGCUAACUCCGUGCCAGCAGCCGCCGUAA
rnacentral:rRNA from 1 species